ensembl:lncRNA
CGUGAAGCGUCCGUGUAUCUGCGAGAUCUUGCUGUGGGCCAGGUAUCCAUUCUCCUGUGGCAGCCGUAGAACCUACGGAGACUAGAGGUCCGUGGGUGGUGGAGGAUCCUUUGCGUAGCAAAAAAGGAAGGCGAGUGCUCCUGCAUCCUCUCCAGACGAUACCCAGGUGAGUAGUACCCCCUUGAACCCACCACCCAUGCCCAACCUCUGAGCUUCCCCAUCCCAGUCUCUGGAGAAAAGAUUUCGUGCAGGUCUGCUGCUCACGUGAUUGUCUGUGUUCUGGUCUUGACUCCAUAUCAACCGCUACCCAACAUUUUCUGUCUCUCUCUGAGACGUACUAAGAUAUUCCAGACUCAGGAGGCCUAAUCUUACCUAACCCCUUGAAACCAGCUAUGAAACUUUGAACUAUCCGAUUUAUUCCUUUGGGUCUCGAUUUCAUCAACUGUCAAAUGGGGGUAUAUUUCUACCUGAGCCAAUACGCAUGCUUGGUCCCUAGAAAUUUUUUUCAAUAAAUAAUGAUGAUCGUGAUUGAAAGAAUAUUGAUUCUCUUAGUCUCUGACUUUUUUUCCACCCGUGUCUGUCUCUGACCCUCUCCCCACUGGAUCUUUUUUGAAUGCUUCUGUCCUCUCUCCCCACACGGGACCUAACUCUUUUCUAUUCCUAAUGUAGUGUAGUUGGAGGUGCAAUAUUUAUAACAAUGAGAGUAACCCAAAGGUAAGGUACAAAACUGGAGCCUAGUCUUGGGCUAGUUUUAAGUCUCUUUGACGAAAGAGCUCUUUGCUCCUCGGCCUUUUCUGUUCAGGUAGAGACACCAAGAAUGGGGAGAAAAUUAUAUUAAAAACUACUUUUUCGGGGUUGGGGAUUUAGCUCAGUGGUAGAGCGCUUGCCUAGCAAGCGCAAGGCCCUGGGUUCGGUCCCAGCUCCGAAAAAAAAAAAAAAAAGAAAGAAAGAAAACCCUACUUUUUCAAUAGCUUUGAUGGUGGUACAUGACUAUAUAUUCACAGCAUUCAGUAUUGCCACAAGUUCAAGGCCAGCCUCAGCUACAUAGUGAAUCCAAAGUAAACCUGGGUUACAAUGUAAAACAGUGUCUUGGUUCGCCCCCCGCCCCCGCCACUGACCCCCACAAAACAUUUUUUUUAAGAAAAGGUUUCGACUGUGUGACGGCCUGACUGUCCUAGAACUCACUCUGCAGACCAGGCUGGCAUUGAACUCACAGAGAACUGCCUAUCUAUGCCUUCCAAGUGCUGGGAUUGAAGACAUGUACCACCACCAGAGCCACAAAACAGUUUGAUAGUCAUUAUGUAAUAUUGGUCACCACAGAUAGUCCAAGGAUCUUCUAAUUGUAUCCCCAUCUUUUCUGUCCUCAUCCAGGAGUCCUUCUAGAUCACAUCUUUUGAAACUCACUGUCAAGUACCACAAAUCUCUUCCCAUUGCUGCCCUAACUUUUCAAUAUUCUUACUAUACUUUUGUCAUCCUGACAACUAUAGAUCCAAUAUUCUAUUUUUAUAAUGUGUAGUUUUCCUCCUUCACUAUUUUUUAAUGAAGAGCAUAAAAAGUAGACUAUAUAUACAAUCCUUCCACAGCUUAUAAUGAUGCUUUCAUUGUAAUAUAAUGGCGAACAAUUUAUUUUUGUAUGCUUGUUUGUUUCUGUUUUUCAAAGCAGGCUUUCUCUGUGUACAGCAUUGGCUGUUCUGGAACUCACUUUGUAAAUCAGGCUGGCCUCAAACUCUGCCUCCCAAGUGCUGGGGCUGAAGAAACUUUUGUAAUAAAACAGUUAUGCACUUCAAUAUGUAAAUGCUUUGAUAUGACUUCACUAAAAGAAAUCAUUUUACACAUUAAUUCAAGAAUGUGACUUGUGCAUGUGACAGCUACAUGUGUAUUGAUUGAGUGGUGACUCAGAAACCAUA